rnacentral:rRNA from 1 species
CAGUCGCCGCGGGAAUACGUAGGGUGCAAGCGUUAAUCGGAAUUACUGGGCGUAAAGCGCGCGUAGGUGGUUUGUUAAGUUGGAUGUGAAAUCCCCGGGCUCAACCUGGGAACUGCAUCCAAAACUGGCAAGCUAGAGUAUGGUAGAGGGUGGUGGAAUUUCCUGUGUAGCGGUGAAAUGCGUAGAUAUAGGAAGGAACACCAGUGGCGAAGGCGACCACCUGGACUGAUACUGACACUGAGGUGCGAAAGCGUGGGGAGCAAACAGGAUUAGAUACCCCCGUAGUCCCUGUCUCUUAUAC